AAAGUAUUUUACCAUACUAUUCACAAAGGUCUAGUCUCACACUCAACCACCUAUAAAUAGAGUUCACAAAGAGGAUGGAAUCAUAGUCCUCAUCCAGGUCGUACUCGGAUCAUCAUCGUGAUUCUACUCCAAGUACUCCUCUUCGGGUUCUUUCUCCUCAGGCUCCUCAUCAGGGUCCUGAAAUGUUGUCCCACAACCGGGAUGAGACUACGUCUCAACAAGUUCUCCCCCCUAAGACUCCAUUAGUAAACCAAUACGCUAACCGGGCUACCUAUGCACGCACGAGUCAGGGGACUUACCUUGGCCUCAGAUUCCUGCAUAUUAGCACAGUUCAAUAAGCAGCCAAGCAAUCGCAUCACAAAUCGAUAUCUCGAUCAAUCGAUCUAGUCGAUCUCAUGUCAAUCGGACCAUUCAUUGGUCAUUUCAAUUCAAUCAAUCAAUUCACGACAUCAUAUCAAAGCAAUGAUCAAUCAACCUAGUCGAUUACAUGUCAUCUCGACCCUUUCUUGGUCGGCUGAUCUCAUUUACUCAAAUUCAAUAUUGAAUUAUGGCUCAGCGAGUACAGCCUUCACGGUCAUAUCAAAUACUUAAAUUAAACACUGAAUUACGGCUCAGCAAGCACGGCCUACUAAAAAUUUGGCGAUAAUGCUGAAUUACGACUCAGUGGGCACAACCGAUGUGACAUCCCGAUUUUUCUCAAGUUUAUUUUCAGUCAAUUGAGUCGGGCAAUUCAUCCGUGCAUGUAGUUCGUCUCUUAGAGUUGGCCACUCACGAGGGAACUAGUUUAUUGAGUGAAGUAAUUAAGGAAUUUUACCGCGUCAGACUUGGGGACUGAUCACCCUCGGGUUGGAUGCAAGAAAAUUUCCCCAAAAGCUACUCAAUGGAUUAGGCGAGCUGAAAUCGCACCGGAUUGAAUUCAGUCGUAAAAAUAGGGAUUGAACUUAGAAGUUGGAAGCCGGUCAUGUCACAUACCUUAGUAGGAUCAUUGGAUUAAUUUAUGAACUUUGAUUUGGACUCAAUUGGAAGAGAAUUGAUGGAAAUUGAAAUAAUUAAAUGUGCAAGAACUUGGACCCCGGCAGAAAAUGAAUUGGACCUAUUGGAAGAUGUUGUGAAGAUUUGAGUUAGUGGAGAGUGACAUCAGCAGGUGAUGUCAUGGUGGAGGCCAAAAUUAAGGAGAGCUUGACAAGUGUCACAAGCCAAUUGGCUCACCAAAAGUGGGGGUGUCCCAUCCACUUCAUCUUCAACCUCUAGCACCUUGGGAAGGGAAAUUCGAAAAUGGAGGGGGGGGGAGAGAGAGAAUCCGGCGAGAGAGUUGCAGCUGGUCCGUCCGCCCCUUCGUCGCGUCUCCGCCGCUGCCGUCUCGCCCGCCGUCGCACGCCAUCGCCGUUCGCCGCUCGUCUGCGUGUGAGGCCCCGGGUGCGAGCUCGUCGCGUCUCCGUCGCCACCGUCUCCUCGCCCGAGCUGCUGGUAACCGACCACCGAAGCUUCCGUCGCCGCCGACCGUCCGCUCAAGCCCCCGCCGGUUGUUGCACAAGCUGUCGCUGGUUCUCCUCCGCCGUUUCUCCGCCCGUUCAGCCACCGUUCCGUCCCCUUCCAAGCUCGGUUAGUUGCUGGAAAAACCAGCAAGAACCAGCUCCUUUUAAGCUCGGUUUGGUCCCCUUUUAGUGCUCAUUUGGUCUUGAUCCGUGUAGGUUUGUCGUCGGCGUCGUCGUGCUCUUCGCCGGAGACCCGUCGGAAAGCGAUUCCGGUGAGUUUACCUCACUAAUCCGCGAUUAGCGAGAUAAUGAUGCCCUAAGUAUGUUUAACUUAAUUGAUUGAGAUUAGGUGGAUAGAUUGGCUUAAUUAGUUGUGGAUUAUAUUAAGGUGAUUGAUUAAGGUAAAGUGUGUUUAGUUAAUGGUUAAGUAUGUUUAUCUUUAAAAUAAACCUUGAUGUGACUUAAAGGAAUUUGUUUAUGAUUUAAAUAAAUGCUUCGAAAUUGUUGGAUUAUUUAAUAAUAUAUCUUAUUCCGAAAUUCAUUAAAAUAUUAUUUUAUAAAAAAAAAAAACUCGAAAAUUCAUUUUUGAUCCUAUUUGCUCAGAACUUCGUGCCGAUCGCUGAUAUAUGUUUAGAAUUUGAAUUUGAUGAGUAAAUAUUGCAAAUUGAAUGUUGAUUGUGAAAAAUAGGAAUUUUAUUCAAAAAUUCCCACGUGUCGGGUUUGACACCGAAAUCGAAUUUGGAAGGGUUAAUAUUGAAAUUGCAGUAUGUGAGUGACGUGUAAAGUAUCCAAGGAUCGGUAUUGAAUUGUCGUGUGCUAGUUGAAAGGCUCGGGUCGCAGUAGUGGCUAGGCCGACUGGAUCCUUAUUCUUCUAGAAAUGCCGUCAAGAGAAUGACGUGGCAUGGUCGCAGUAGUGGCGAGACCGACUGGACCAUUAUUAUUCUAGAAAUGCUGUCGAGAGAAUGACGUGGCAUGGUCGCAGUAGUGGCGAGACCGACUGGACCAUUAUUAUUCUAGAAAUGCCAUCGAGAGAAUGACGUGGCAUGGUCGCAGUAGUGGCGAGACCGACUGGACCAUUAUUAUUCUAGAAAUGCUGUCGAGAGAACGACGUGGCAUGGUCGCAGUAGUGGCGAGACCGACUGGAUCAUUAUUAUUCUAGAAAUGCUGUCGAUAGAACGACGUGGCAUGGUCGCAGUAGUGGCGAGACCGACUGGACCUUUAUUAUUCUAGAAAUGCUGUCGAUAGAACGACGUGGCAUGGUCGCAGUAGUGGCGAGACCGACUGGACCUUUAUUAUUCUAGAAAAGCUGUCGAUAGAACGACGUGGCAUGGUCGCAGUAGUGGCGAGACCGACUGGACCUUUAUUAUUCUAGAAAAGCUGUCGAUAGAACGACGUGGCAUGGUUGCAGUAGUGGCGAGACCGACUGGACCUUUAUUCUUCUAGAAAUGCUGUAAUGUUAGUAGAUAGCCUACCUGCGAGUAGGUUGUGCCCUUGUGUGGCAAUGGAUAAUGAUGACAUGGAAUGCUUGCCGUGGUUGUGAAAUUAAGUGAAAUCGAUUGUGUUCCGAUGGCUUACAUUCUUAUCAUUACUGGUGCUUGAGUGAUAUGUAUUAUACUAACCUGCAGGAAGCCAAGAAGGCGAGGUAAGUCUUCUUGAUGUUGUGGCUAAGCUGCUUCGGGGCGUAUUUACUUUCUAAUAGGGGUUUAGGAGGGGUGAACUUGCUGAGACAAAGUCUCAUCCCGGUUUGGGGAAAAAUAUUACAAGACCGUAGAUGGCGAGACCCCCGGAGAUGAGUGGCCUGCCGACGGAGAUUGACCAGACGACUGAGAGUACUCCUGACCCCGGGAGCCCCUGGGUCUAUCAGUUGGUGAGGACCACCAUUUGGGUCGAGGUGAACGUGGAUAAUAGAGUACCUUAUUUUUUUAGGGCUUGGUUUCGUACCGGAGCAGAUGGGGUUAGGAUUGGCCCCCUUGACAGCAUGGACAUUCCACUGGCGGUGAUGACUGCCAUUUUGGGAAAGGGGUAGCAGAUCAUCCUGAUGGUCGAGUGGUCAACGCUUCACCCCCGGCCUCUUGGGUGACUGAUCCUGAGGAUGUAGGGUCGACGAAUGGGGAUGACCAAUAGUCCUAGGAUUGUGCCUUUUUCCUUUUUGGGCGGACUGAUUCGUGUUGUGUAGGCUAACCCUCUUUUGAUGUGCAUAACUCUGACCCAUUUUUGGUGUAUAGGCCCUGGAUCCAGUUGAUGUAUGUAAGCCCUGGACUGUUGAUAUUGUAUGAAAGUAUGAUGUUUGAUUUUGAGUUGAUGUUCCUGCUGUCCUAUCCCGUAUGCUUUUGUAAGGGGUUUCUUAGUACGUUCCGCUUGCGCAUUAAAUAAAUAAAAAUUGGGGUCGGCGACACUACCUGGGAAUGUCGCAUUUGCAUGACCAUGGCGGGUUGUUCACGUGUCUCGGGGUUCGGGGCGUGACAACCGAUUCCAAACUCGGUGGAUUACGGUCUAGUGGACACAAUCAUACUUUGGUGGAAAUGUUGAAUUAUGACUUAGUGAGCACAACCUAGAUUAGGUGUUAAUGCUGAAUUACGGCUCAGCUAGCACAACCAAUUCCAAAUUUGGUGGUAAUACUGAAUUACGGCCUCAUAGGCACAACCAUACGUCAGUGGUUAAUUACGGCCCAAAUAAUCAAGUGGUCAAUCUUAAUCUGCGUCAUAACUUCACCCAAUUAUUCAUCAAUGGCCAAAGACAUUGUCUUCCACUAUCAUAUUCCUCAUUUAAGAAUUAUGUCUUGACCCAAUUCCCUCAUGAUAAAAUACCCGAUACGAACAGUCGUGUGUGGGUACAUGGUCGGCCUUAGCCAAAAUAUCACAAUUUCACUUUUUGAACAUCCCACCAGUUUUAACAGCCCAAAACAUGUUUUUAGCGAUGUAAACUGCCGCCCGGUUAAUUUCUAAUCCAUUACCAAAAUUGAUUAAUAUAGGAAUAAAAUCUUGAAAUAGAAUUAAAUCAAUUCAGCACAAACCAAUGUUCAAAUAAAUAAACGGACUGCACCACGAUGAUGAGCAUAAAAUUCCGGCCGUCGGCUAUCCCUACCUAAUUUCCGGAAAAUAAAUAAAUAAUUAAUUAAUUUCAAAAAUUAUUAAAUAAAUACAAAAAAUCCAAUUUAGGCUUGUAAUGCCUAAUUGAACGCCAAAACUGAUCAAGAAAAAUCCCGAGAUGCAUCCAAUAAAUACUAGCACAUGUCUAUUCGCUAAUUGCACAAUUCAAUUGCCUAACAUGCAUCACAAUUAUUUAAUAAUCACUAAUCUAUUCUAAUCUAACCACCUGUGCACUUAAUUAAAUCUAAUCAACCCUUAAGCACAAUUAGCAAACUAAGAAAGCAUUAGUGAGCAAAACUCACUUGAUUAAAAGUGGAGACUGGAUCACCAUGAUGGCGAUGGAUGGCAGCCGAAACCUGAACUUUUGGUGGCGUCGACGGAUACUCAAGCCAGGCCCAAAAGCCUUGCAAGCCCACAGCAAACACUGGGCUUGGCUGCGGGCUGGGCCUGCUUCGCGGGCCCAAGAUGGGCUGAACUGCUGAAAAUUUAAGUUGGACUGAAAUUCACAGGCUGAGAUGGGCUUGGACCGAAUGUGCAAGCUUCACUGGGCUUCAAAUGGCUUCUUGGGCUGCUGGAAUUGAUGGACUGAAAGUGGGCUGGGCUGAGCGAAAUUUGCUUGGGCUCAUGGACGGGCCCAACUGCUGGGCCGUGAAAUCCGCUGGACCCGUGGGCUGCUGCAGCUGGAAUUUCUGUGGAAGUGUUGGCGUGGAGCUGCUUCGAGGAUGGAGUCGCGUACGAAGGAGACGCAGCCACGAAUCUGCUUCGGUCUUCACUUCGGUGGCCACGAGCUGGACGAGGGAGCAGCGAAGGAGUCGUUAGUUGGAGUCAACACUCGGGCAAGGAUCCGCUGGUGUUGACUGUGGAGACGCAUGGAUCGGUGAAGCAGAAUUGAAUCGGCUGCUGGCGUCUUCAAUUGUGGGUUUGUCGGUGGGGAGCAGGGAGUAGUGGAGCUGCUGAAGGAGAGAUGGUCGUGGGCUGCAGCGGUGAUGGCAGAGGAAAAAUGAAAGUUUCGGUUGGCGAUAUGGAGAUGCUUUGAACUUUGCUGGCAUUGAAGAGUUCGGUGGAGCAGCAGAAAAUUUCGGUGGGGUGAGUCGUGACAGGGAGAUGGAUGAAGGAUGAUGAUGAUGGAGCAGUAGGUGAGAGAGAAAAUGAUGGACAACUGGGAAGAAAAAUCGAAGGAGCCGUGAAGAGGGAGGUCGACGAUGCUUGCCC
rnacentral:lncRNA from 1 species